GCCAUCGGGUCAAACCGGUGGCUGCGUUGGCGUUGCGGGCUCGGUCCGUCGGUGCCCCACAAAGGGCUAUCGGCGUGUCAACCGGCCCGCCCGUCCCCUCCUUCUGGAUUCCCGUUCCUGCUAUUGAGUUAGUGGGGACGUCACAGGGGGUCCAUCGUCGUGCGGGUCAAACCGUGCGGCGGUGGGUCCCUGGGGCCCAGAUCGUUUACCGUGAAAAAAUUAGAGUGUUCAAAGCAGGCAGAUCCAAUUUUCUGCCACCGAAUACAUUAGCAUGGGAUAAUGGAAUAGGACCCUGUCCUCCUAUUUUCAGUUGGUUUUGGCAGCGCGAGGACUAGGGUAAUGAUUAAUAGGGAUAGUUGGGGGCAUUAAUAUUUAAUUGUCAGAGGUGAAAUUCUUGGAUUUAUGAAAGAUUAACUUCUGCGAAAGCAUCUGCCAAGGAUGUUUUCAUUAAUCAAGAACGAAAGUUAGGGGAUCGAAGACGAUCAGAUACCGUCGUAGUCUUAACCAUAAACGAUGCCGACCAGCGAUUAGGAGACGUU
rnacentral:rRNA from 1 species